GACGAACCACACAAACGUUAUUCGGAAUUACUGGGCUUAAAGGGUGCGUAGGCGGCGCGGAAAGUAGGGUGUGAAAUCCCUCGGCUCAACCGAGGAAUAGCGCCCUAAACUACCGUGCUCGAGGGAGAUAGAGGUGAGCGGAACUUAGGGUGGAGCGGUGAAAUGCGUUGAUAUCCUAAGGAACACCGGUGGCGAAAGCGGCUCACUGGAUCUCUUCUGACGCUGAGGCACGAAAGCUAGGGUAGCGAACGG
rnacentral:rRNA from 1 species